AGUGAACGCUGGCGGUAGGCCUAACACAUGCAAGUCGAACGGCAGCACAGGAGGGCUUGCUCUCUGGGUGGCGAGUGGCGGACGGGUGAGGAAUACAUCGGAAUCUACUCUGUCGUGGGGGAUAACGUAGGGAAACUUACGCUAAUACCGCAUACGACCUACGGGUGAAAGCAGGGGACCUUCAGGCCUUGCGCGAUUGAAUGAGCCGAUGUCGGAUUAGCUAGUUGGCGGGGUAAAGGCCCACCAAGGCGACGAUCCGUAGCUGGUCUGAGAGGAUGAUCAGCCACACUGGAACUGAGACACGGUCCAGACUCCUACGGGAGGCAGCAGUGGGGAAUAUUGGACAAUGGGCGCAAGCCUGAUCCAGCCAUACCGCGUGGGUGAAGAAGGCCUUCGGGUUGUAAAGCCCUUUUGUUGGGAAAGAAAUCCAGCUGGCUAAUACCCGGUUGGGAUGACGGUACCCAAGGAAUAAGCACCGGCUAACUUCGUGCCAGCCGCCGCAGUAA
rnacentral:rRNA from 1 species